ACUUCCGUUAAUUGAUUAUGACGUACUUGUACUGAUUGAGAUUUUAACACGAAGUGAGUGGCGAACGGGUGAGUAACACGUGGGUAACCUGCCCAGAAGUAGGGGAUAACACCUGGAAACAGAUGCUAAUACCGUAUAACAGAGAAAACCGCAUGGUUUUCUUUUAAAAGAUGGCUCUGCUAUCACUUCUGGAUGGACCCGCGGCGUAUUAGCUAGUUGGUGAGGUAAAGGCUCACCAAGGCAGUGAUACGUAGCCGACCUGAGAGGGUAAUCGGCCACAUUGGGACUGAGACACGGCCCAGACUCCUACGGGAGGCAGCAGUAGGGAAUCUUCCACAAUGGACGCAAGUCUGAUGGAGCAACGCCGCGU
rnacentral:rRNA from 1 species